rnacentral:rRNA from 1 species
UACGUAGGGUGCAAGCGUUGUCCGGAAUUAUUGGGCGUAAAGAGCUCGUAGGCGGUCUGUCGCGUCGGCUGUGAAAUCCCGAGGCUCAACCUCGGGUCUGCAGUCGAUACGGGCAAACUGGAGUGUUGCAGGGGAGACUGGAAUUCCUGGUGUAGCGGUGAAAUGCGCAGAUAUCAGGAGGAACACCGGUGGCGAAGGCGGGUCUCUGGGCAACAACUGACGCUGAGACGCGAAAGCAUGGGGAGCGAACAGG